rnacentral:pre_miRNA from 1 species
UGUUAAAAAAUUUAUCCAUUUGUACAGUAAAAAACCGACGUGACUGAUGGAAUAACCAGAUAGUGACACGUAAUGUGUCACAUAUACCUCAUGCUGACAUAUAACUAUAAAUUUUUAACAGUAAAAAUUAAUAGAAUUUUUAAUA